rnacentral:rRNA from 1 species
ACGGACGCUGGCGGCGUGCCUAAUACAUGCAAGUCGAGCGAAUGAUUAGAGAAGCUUGCUUCUCUCUGAUUUAGCGGCGGACGGGUGAGUAACACGUGGGUAACCUACCCUAUAGACUGGGAUAACUUCGGGAAACCGGAGCUAAUACCGGAUAAUACUUCGGAACACAUGUUUUGAAGUUGAAAGAUGGUUUCGGCUAUCACUAUAGGAUGGACCCGCGGCGCAUUAGCUAGUUGGUGAGGUAACGGCUCACCAAGGCAACGAUGCGUAGCCGACCUGAGAGGGUGAUCGGCCACACUGGGACUGAGACACGGCCCAGACUCCUACGGGAGGCAGCAGUAGGGAAUCUUCCACAAUGGACGAAAGUCUGAUGGAGCAACGCCGCGUUGAGUGAAGAAGGAUUUCGGUUCGUAAAACUCUGUUGCAAGGGAAGAACAAGUAGCGUAGUAACUGGCGCUACCUUGACGGUACCUUGUUAGAAAGCCACGGCUAACUACGUGCCAGCAGCCGC